CACGACACGCUUAUGAUUUUUCUUUGUGUUUUGCUCCUGACUUAUUAAUGAGUUUUUGAAAUAUAAUUCAAAAACUCAUUAAUACUGGUAAUUCAGGAGCAAAACACAAAGAAAAAUCAUAAGCGUGUCGUG
rnacentral:miRNA from 1 species